UGGCAUUGGAUUUGGGAGUUGAUUUUAAGUCCAUCUUCAUCUCGAAAAGGUCCAGCUAGCUCAUCUUUAAUAAUACCAGCCCAUACCAGUACCCAGCCUCCACCUUGCUGGUGUCUGAUUCGAAGUGGAGCCCUGUGCCCAUUACUGAUCCAGCCACGGGUCCAUCCAUCUGGUCCAUCAAGAGUCACUCUCAUCCCAUCAGUCCAUAAAACCUUUGAAAAGUCUCUCUUCAGAUAUUUCUUGGCCCAGUCUUGACGUUUCGACUUGUGUCUUGUUCAGUGGUGGUCAGAUUUCAGCCUUCCUUACCUUGGCCAUGUCUCUGAGCACUGAACACCUUGUACUUCUGGGCACUCCAGGUAGGUUGCAGUUCUGGAAUAUGACAGCACUGGAGGAUAUUGGGUUCCUGGUAGCUUUACGUUUGAGUCUUCUCAAAUCUUUGGCAGUUAAUUCGCGUCUUUUUUUCUUAACACAUUUCUUGCGACCCUGUUGACUAUUUGCAUCAAAAUGUUUGAUGGUUCUGUGAUCACGCCCAAAUAUCUAAGAAAUUUCAAGAGUGCUGCAUCCCUCUGAAAGACUUUUUACAUUUUUUGACUUUUCAGAGUCACUUAAAUCUCUUUUUUGGCCCAUUUUACCUGAGGAAAAGAAGCUGCCUAAUAAUUAUGCACACCUUGAUAUAGGGUUUUGAUCUCCUUAGGCCCCAGCCUCCCUCAAUACACAUUACCUGAUAUGCUUAUAUCCAAUAAGCAUUCAAGUUUAUACAGCUUAGAGUUGGAAAAUAUGCAUAAAAAUGAUGAUAUGAUCAAAAUACUCACUUGCCUAAUAAUUGUGCACACAGUGUUUUCUAACUUCUCUCUCCAAUAGCUUUAUUACACAGCACAAAAAUGUUUCUUAUCUUCUCUGUGACCUUGUUUCUCCUAUUAGCAGGUGUGUGUGUGAUGUAUCCUCCACUGUGAAUCGUGGGAAGUAAUGAGGAGGAUCCGCUCCUAUCAGAAGGAGCUUGUUUAAUGUCAACAGUGUUGCCUUGACCCUCACAUAUGUUCUGUUGUUCAUAAUUAUGUUUUAUGAGAAUGCUAACAUUGGUGCACAUAUUUUUCCCCCAUCCUUUAGUACCAUUGUGUAACCAGGGACAACCCUAAAUAAAGAGACUGUGGUGCUGUUGGUGCUGUUAUUCCAUUAUUGCAAAUGAAUCUCAUCACCCUGUGAUGAAGAAAAUGAAAAUAAGACCAUCUUAAGAAUUCUGGCACUUUCAUGAUCAUUUCUAAUUGUACAGAAAAAGUGAAAUAUUGCAAAGAGUAUAAAUGGUAGAAAGGUGAAAAGUAAUACUUAUCAUGUCCUUAGGGAGUGCAUUACUAUCAAGUGUGAAUGGUUAAAAUAGCACAAAGUGGGAAGGAGAGAAAAAGUAACAAAUAUUGGUGUUAGAAGAAAAAACGGCCGACAGGAUUAUCAAUUACAACUUGAAAAACUGCGUUUCCUUGCAGAAAAUGCAUGGAAAUGCUGAAUGAUGAAACAGCCAUGCAGAACUGCUACGAAAGAAGAAAAGUAUAAAUGUUAAAUGUCUUGAAGAGGUGGAGAACAAGAAGAAAUUAUGUAGAAAUUUUAGCAUAGCUGCAGUUAAACAUACAUGAAGUUGUAGAAAAGCAGCAGUUGGAGAAGUGUUUUACAUGCUGACAUUUUCAAUAACCUUAAAAAAAAAAUUGUAUGAGUGUUGUCAAUAAACAGAGAUUAGGAUUAGUUAACCCUUGUGUAACCGUUAGAUUUACAUCAGUUGUUAACGCUCAGUGGCUAAAAGAAGCCACUGACAUUGACUGCUGUAAUAACAUAUUGGGUUCAUAUGUUUUCCAGAUUUUUUUUCACACAUCUCUCAAUUAAUUUCUGCCCUGAUCAAAAAUAGUAAAUUUUUUACCUAAAAACAAUUUUUUGAGCCUUUGAGAGUCCAUUCAAAACAUAACGCCACUGCUAUGGUACAAAAAUACACAAAAAUGACUCACUUAACUUCAAUCUCGCCAAAACAAACUAUGACCAUAGCCAACACAUCAAAACAACACUUAAACAACAGCUAAUCACAAGGGGUAACCAACUCAACAGAUGCAUGCCAAAACACAUAAUCACAAACCUUCAAUCUUGCCUAAACGAACAAAAACAACAGCUUAACACAAGGGGUAACCAGUUCAACAGAUAAACAUAUCGGGCUCUAUUUUGGUGCCUCGCCGGAGACGUGCCGCAAGUUCAGCGUCAGUCAGAUCCGCCGCGCUGACAAGGCGUUCCCAAGCACAUUUUGGUAUUUUGGUGAGCCGCGCUGCCCGGCGUAAGUAUCCCCCCUCCCUAACUCAGCUCCUCCCAGCAGCAUAAGUCGUAGACGGGGAGGAGAAAGGGCGUGGAGUGGAUUUAACACAGCCGAGACCUGUUUUCACCAAUCACAUAAGCUCCUCUCCUUGCCUUUAAAUCCGCCACAGGCGAGGCGUAUUACUAUUUUCAUGAAGUAGUCAAAGAGAUCAAGAGAUGUCUUAAGACAGUAAUGCCACAAGAUGACGACAGAGGGCAGCUCCUCAACAAGUGUCCUCCACACUCUCUCAUCUGAGCACAGAUGGAUUUGGUGUGUGUAAUGUUGGACCCACUGGUAAGACAAACACCCUUUUCCACAAAUAAAGACACUCACAUAAAGUUGCAUAUAUUCAAACCUCACGUGACAAAGGUGGGUUGAGCGCACAGAUCACAACAUAAACUCCAAAAAUGGCAUUAAAAAUGGAACCAUCUGUGCGUAAAUGACGCAUCGCGCUCCGUGACCUGGCUCUUUCUUUCAUAGAUGUUGGCAUAUAAAAUAAAUUUGCCUCACAAAACUGAAUAUUAUAAUAUCCGCAUGUAGGCUUAAAGUAGAUAACACAUCUGAGCACUGAAACAAAUCAUCUGUUCAGCCGCAGCAGCAGCAAGAAGGACAGAGGACACAGAGACGUGUCCAGGUCCAGCUGUGUGAGAAAUAAGAGGAAGAGGAAGAUAGAAAAGGAGGGAGACAAAUUACAUAUCUUGUUAACUUCAUCAUGUGUGUUUAUUUACUAGAUAUUUAAUUUAAUUUGAUGCGGUUUCAGCUGUGUUGAUUCGGUCAGGUUGUGUGUCCAAACGCGUGCCAAACGCACUCAUCAGAUCACAUAUAGAUCAGAAUAUAUCAAUAUAGAUCUAUGUGCUGACUCAGAUUAAUAGUUGAUGAUGAUUAUUUAUUGCAGGGCAUCAGUGACGUAUGUCGAUACGCCGCCGGUCUACCAAAAUACUACUAGACCAGCUGCGCUCCGCCAUGCGCUGAAAGCUGACCAGGUUUGAAUCGGCGAGCUUUCAGCGCACUUUACACGCCGGUGGCGAGCACGAAAAUGUCACUGCGCCUGCUGAUUCUGUCGACACCUCCCCCUGCCACGCCACCACGCCCAGCUUGGCGGAUCUCGGCUCGCCUCCGUGAGGCUCAGUCUACAAAAAUACCAAACUGGACUUACGCCAGGCUCCGCCAGACGAAAAUACAACUGCGCGGGGCUCGCCGCCCUCCGCCGCCUCACCGGCGCGCACGAAAAUAGAGCCCAUCAACUGCAUGCAGGAACACUAGCUCACUUAACUUCAAUCUCGCCAAAACAAACUAUGAUCAUAACAAGCCAACACAUCAAAACAACUUUUAAAUAACAGCUACACAGAAGGGGUAACCAACUCAACAGAUGCAUGUGUUAGGCAGAGAGAGACACUUUCAGAAAGUACGGGAGAAGGAGCAUCCCGUUUUAGUUCAUUACGCGACAUGUCUUUUUGUUUUCAGAUACGGUAUGAUCCCGUUUUUUACGGUACGGUUGGGAACCCUAGAGCACCCAUUCCUGGCUUUUGUCAAGUUCUUCGAACAUGUUUUUGUAGAGUUUGUUUACAUUAAAGGGGAUGUAUUUCCUCAUGUCAACAAAAUUACCGUUAUUGUUAAAAAGGAACUUAACUUAAUUUUCAGAAGUAUAUUUCUGCAUUCCUGUCAUGUUGCUGAUUCCAUCUGUUUCUGAGUAUAAUGGUGGACCUCACAAUGAGCCUUACUCAUAACCUGCUGUACCAACAGAAAAAGGAUAACAAUCCUGAACAAUGCUGAGAAUGUUGUCUCAGUCCAUUGUUGUUGAUCGUAUCUAAUGAUUGUUUUUUCGUUUUUAAUUAUUUAUUAAUGUGGUGUAUUUAUUAAACUAUGUAUUUAUUUAUUUAUCUAUCUAUUUAUUAAUUUAUUCGAAUCAAGAUAUUCAAAAUAAAAGCUAUAUGUAAAAAUAACAAAAUAAAUGAAUGGUUUUAAAUUUUUUUAUGCUUUUUGUGUUAGGUUCGGGGAUAUAGGGGUUUGAGCCACUUUUGACAUGGCGGUUCAUUGCCUUUACCAAGGUCGAACCAUCCUGAGAUUUUGUGGAUUGGUGUCACGGUACUGGAGGCGACCACCCCUCCUCCUGUAUUGCACCUCAGUCCAUUGAUCGUAGGCCAUGACUGUUUUUAUCCUUUUUAAUUAUUUAUUACUAUUUAUUGUAUAUUGUGUAUUUCUCAAACUAUUUAUUCAUUUAUUUGUGUAUCUAUCUAUUUAUAAUGUAUUCAAAUCAAGGUAUUCAAAACAAAAGCUGUAUAUGAAAAUAACAAAAUAAAUGAAAUGUUCUUUAUUUUUUUAUGCUUUUUUUUCUAAAAUAAAAAUGAAAUAAAAUGAAAUAAAAGUAAAAUAACAAAAUAAAAUGUCUAUUAAAAUGAAGAAUUGAAGAAAAGGUGUGGGGGAAAAGUGCCCAGUUGCGCAACGUUUCGACCGCUGUGGGUCUUCUUCAGGCUCUGGGCACUGUGAGAAAUAUGUCUGGGCUUGUUGAUUCAGGGUGUGAGAUGUUCUCCCUUCAGCAGACUCAGCCAGAAUGAGAGGAGCCAAGGUUUGUGUGUGUGUUCUAUUUAUAGAGGCGGGGAGAGCAAAGAAUGCAGAAUGCAGCUGCACUCUGAUGAGUCAUGGAGAGGCUCCGGCAGUCUGUGUGUGUAUGAACCACUAAAUGCCUACUGAAUUUAAAUGAAAUGAAUGUUGAUGGUCAAUUGUAAUGUUGAAGCUGAUUAAUGAAUUGUACUUUUAAUGCCCAAUUAGAAUUUUUUUACCCUCUUUUUAACUGAUUAAAUUUAAUUAAUUGUAAUUUUAAUGCCCAAUUUUAACUUUUAUAUUUUAAAUCCAUAAUUGUCAAUUAGAAUUGUAAUGCGUUUGAAUUUUAAAGAUAGUUUUAUUUUAGCCCUUAAUUCCCUUUUUAGAUUUUAGAUUAGAUAUACAUUUGUAAUACUUUUGGUUUUAAUGUGAAAUUAUUACUAUUUUUAGCCUGCUAUGAAAUUUAAUAAUUAAAAAUGAAUUCAAAUGAAUUAAUUAAAAUAAAUUAUUAGUUUUUUAAAGGUUAGGGUUAGGGGUCAGGGCAAGGGUCAGAGAGGUUAGGGUUAGGGUUAGGGUUAGGGUUAGAGGGGUUAGGGCUAGGGUUAGAUGGUUAGGGUUAGGGUCAGAGAGGUUAGGGUUAGGGUUAGGGUUAGGGUUAGGGUUAGAGGGGUUAGGGCUAGGGUUAGAUGGUUAGGGUUAGGGUUAGAUACCUAGUUAGGUGUUAGUUUAGGGCUAGGGAUUAGGGGUUAGUGGUUAGGGUUUGGUGGUUAGAGUUAGGGUUAGGGUUAAGGUUAGGGGGUUAGGGUUAGGGAUUAGGGUUAGGGGGUUCGGGUUAGGCUUAGGGGUUAGGGAAAGGGUGAGGGAUUAGGGUUAUGGUUGGGGUAGGGUGAGGGGUAGGGUUAGGGGUUAGGGUUAGUUGUUAUGAUCAUAGUUUGUUUUGGCGAGAUUGAAGGUAUAUGAGCAUGUUUUAUGGCACACAUCUGUUGAGUUGUUGUUUAAGUGUUGUUUUGAUGUGUUGGCUUGUUGUUUUGAUAGUAUUUUUGGGAAUUGAAAUUAAGUGAGCUAGUGUUAUCACAUGCAGUUGAUAUGUUUAUCUGUUGAACUGGUUACCCCUUGUUUUUAGCCGUUGUUUAAGUGUUCUUUUGAUGUGUUGGCUUGUUGUUAUGAUCAUAGUUUGUUUUGGCGAGUUUGAAGGUUUGUGAGUAUGUGUUAUGGCAUGCAUCUGUUGAGUUGGUUAUCCCUUCUGUUUAACUGUUGUUAAAGUGUUGUUUAGAUGUGUUGG
rnacentral:lncRNA from 1 species